GUUGCUCAUGUUCUGGUCUCUGAGAAUUGGAGGUUGCUACUACUCUUCACAUUGCUCAUCCAGAAUAUCAGAAUGAAAGCAGCUAUUGUUGAAGAUGACCCCUCUCCCACAAUUCUAGACUUCAUAGGAUUUACUCCCUCUUCAUCCUUGAAAAUCUAUUCUACUCAAAUAAGGACUGCAGAAGAGGAUGCGUAUAAAUGAGUUGGAAGAUCGUAUCUGGAAUGCAGCAUUCAAGAAAGAUUAAUCCAAACUAAAACAGGUGCAGAAAAUGACUACCAUGAUGAUAAAGAUGGCAGGCAGGCACUUUUAAACUGCGCACAUGUGCAGAAGGGCUCGCUGAUGGUGCCGCGCCACUCUACGGGCUGGGGGGUCUCUGCCCCAUGGAAGAAGGGGACAG